rnacentral:misc_RNA from 1 species
CCUAGAGUUGUAGGCUUUGCCUGCUAUCUCUUACCCAUGUCUUUUGAGUACCUUACGUUUCCUCGGUGGGUCCGCCCACCGAUUGGACAAACUUAAACCCUUUGCAGUUGAAAUCAGCGUCUGAAAAAACUUAAUAGUUA